rnacentral:lncRNA from 1 species
UUAAACUGCUUAACCUAUUUCCCUCCUCCCCCUCAUUCAUCAAAAUCGUUUUCUCUCCCGCAGGCCGUAAUCGAUUGCAUUGAUAACACUGAAUCGAUCUCAACGAAAGGCUUCUCCCUUUUGCACGUAGUUCCAGAUGAAGAUGUGAUACAGGCACCACCAGACAACCAUGCGGACGCUCCACCCUGGACCACCACCGAUACUGCUUGUUGAUGAGACGUAGGUUCAAAGAUGCCUGCCAAUUGUUCGAUGAAAGGCUUCAAAGAGCUUUAGUGCUAUAGUUACUUUAACAUUUAAAACAAAGGUAAUGUACUAAUUUUUGAAGUCCUAAUUGUGGUAAUUUGCUUAAUACAAAACUAACUAGUUUAAAAGAAAAAAAGAAUGAAAGGGUCUGUGGUUUUUGGUGAUCCUAAAAAUAAAAAAGGAUAUAAUUUAGAUAAGUUUUGGUUAUAAUGAAUAUACUACAUAUUUUAGAACUAUUCUAGGAUGAGCAAUUGAAUACUAGAAAAUCUGGAAAUGCUAUUUAUCGAGUUUAUAGACAAUUAAACAAUCCUAUUUUUCCUCAUGAAUUAUGUGUGUUGUUCAUGGAAUCAAUUAACGGACCAACCAAUUGUCUAGAAAGACAUAAUUAGGGGUGUAAACAAGCCUAGAGGCUCGAGAGCUACUCGUUAUCGGCUCGGUUAAAAACUCGAACGAUCCGAACUUUGACGAGCCCGAGCUCGAGCAUGAAUUAGAGCUCGUAUAGUUAUCGAGCCCGAGCUCGAGCCUGAUAUACAAAGCUCGUUUAGGUUCGCGAGCCUAAACGAGCCCAAACAAAAAUUUAUUUAUUUUUUAUAUAAUAUCAUAAUAAUGAUGAUAACAUUGGCGAGCUGAGCUCGAGCCGAGCUUUGGCUCGUUGAAGCGAUAUUGAAGCAAGCUCGAGCCGAGCUUUUUGUUCGUUUGAGGUUGUUCUCAAAAUAGCUCGAGCCGAGUCAAACCAAGCUCGAGCUUUGGGUUUUACUCGCGAGCCGAGCCCGAGCUCAAAUAAAUAGGCUCGAACUGAGACGAGCUCGGGCUCGGCCCGGCUCGUUUACACCCCUACUGUAAAUUUUAGGGCAGCUUUGUGUUAAAGUGGAUCACGCAAGGAUUUCAAAUGGAUUUAACUGAGGAAACAAUUGUAAUACAACUUCAGCUUUUGUCUUAGAAAUGAAGCCAGUCCAUCAGGUGUUCUACUCAUUGUUUUUGAUCCUCGACCUGAUGCAUUAGAUCAGGUUGAAGUUGAGAAAAACUAGUUGCUGGAAAUGGCAAAAGGAUUGAAGAUGAUCAUUAAAGAAAAAAACACCGAGCUUGAAACUAUGCGAAAAGAGUUUGCUAGCUAGCGACACAACUUGGAAGCUAUGAUGCGGAAGGCUAUGAAACAAGUAGUUGGAGAUCGAGAUGAGUAGAAUGUUUUCACUUUUUUUAUUAUUGUAAUUGACUAUAAAGUUUUAAGUUUCGACAAACAUGUUGAAGUACACACUUUGAUUAUCAGUGAUAUCUUUGUUAUUAUUGUU